rnacentral:ncRNA from 1 species
CAAAGGUUUGGUCCCGGCCUUUCUAUUAGUUGUUAGCAAACUUACACAUGCAAGAAUCCCCGCCCCUGUGAAAAUGCCCUUUAGGCUAUUGUCAAUAGCAAAAGGAGCUGGUAUCAAGCGCACUAAAAGUAGCUUAUAACGCCUUGCUCAGCCACACCCCCACGGGAAACAGCAGUGAUAAAAAUUAAGCAAUAGACGAAAGUCUGACUAAGUUAUGCUUCUAAGGACUGGUAAAUUUCGUGCCAGCCACCGCGGUCAUACGAUUAGACCAAACUAAUGGACAUUCGGCGUAAAGAGUGUACUAGAGUCACAAUAACCAAUAAGGUCAAACUUUAACUAAACUGUAAAAAGCCCUAGUUACUGUAAGGCAGGCAACGAAAGUGACCUUAGAAUAUCUGAUUACACGAUCGCUAAGACCCAAACUGGGAUUAGAUACCCCACUAUGCUUAGCCCUAAACAUAAAAAAUUGCGAACAAAAUUAUUCGCCAGAGUACUACCAGCAAUAGCUAGAAACUCAAAGGACUUGGCGGUGCCCUAUAUCCCUCUAGAGGAGCCUGUUCUAUAAUCGAUAAACCCCGUUAAACCUCACCAAUCCUUGCCAAGUCAGCCUAUAUACCGCCAUCUUCAGCAAACCCUAAAAAGGAAGUAUAGUAAGCGCAAACAUUAGCAUAAAAACGUUAGGUCAAGGUGUAGCCAAUGGGUUGGAAAGAAAUGGGCUACAUUCCUCGAAUCGAGGAAACAACAUACGAAAACUCCCGUGAAACCGGGAGUCAAAGGUGGAUUUAGCAGUAAGUCAAGAAUAGAGCGCUUGACUGAAUAAGGCCAUGGGGCACGCACACACCGCCCGUCACCCUCCUCAAGCGAAGUAUUUUAUUACUACAUAAUAACUGUUUACAACCCCGCUAGAGGAGAUAAGUCGUAACAAGGUAAGUGUACUGGAAAGUGCACUUGGACAACA